rnacentral:rRNA from 1 species
CACGUAGGGCGCGAGCGUUGUCCGGAAUUAUUGGGCGUAAAGAGCUCGUAGGCGGUCUGUCGCGUCGGCUGUGAAAUCCCGGGGCUCAACCCCGGGCCUGCAGUCGAUACGGGCAGACUAGAGUGCGGUAGGGGAGACUGGAAUUCCUGGUGUAGCGGUGAAAUGCGCAGAUAUCAGGAGGAACACCGGUGGCGAAGGCGGGUCUCUGGGCCGUAACUGACGCUGAGGAGCGAAAGCGUGGGGAGCAAACAGG